rnacentral:lncRNA from 1 species
AUUAGUGUGAAUGAAAAGCCCUAUUAAAAGCUUUCCAGAAGAUCCUGCGAAGAAGGCAUGAAGUAUAGAUCAGAUUUGUUUUGUUAAUAGAGGAGUAUGUUCAAAACACUUUUUAGAAAAAGAUAUUGACAGAACUUCACUUUCAUCUGUUCGUUUGAGAGACUGUGCUGUUCCAAUAGCUUAUGUCACACAGAAUCAGCUGAGAGAAGUGGUCUACAAAAAACCAGAAAGGAAACGGAAUAUGUGGCUACGAAAAGCAAAAGAAAGGUUUACAAAGCAAAUGUGACACAUUUUUUUAUAAUAUUUAGGAAUGUCAGCAAAUUACAUUAAAAAAUGUAUGUAAAGAUUUUUUGCAAUAAAAAUGUUUAUAUUUA